AUGUACUCUUAGAGAAAUUCAAUAAUAAACGAAGUGAAUUGAAAUAUCUUAGUAACUUUAGGAAAAGAAAUCAAACGAGAUUCUAUGAUUAGUGUGAAUGAAAGUAGAACAGCCUAUAAAUUCUCAGAAUAUAUUAUAUUAAAUAAGUAAAACGGGCAAUAACCUGUUUGAAUACAAGGGGAACCUUCCUCUAAGGCUAAAUAUAAUACAUAAGCGAUAGCGUAAAGUACUGUGAAGGAAAGGUUGAAAUAGUAGUUUUAUAAGCAGCUCAAGUUUAAAUAAAUAGUAAGAGCGUACCUUUUGCAUAAUGGGUCAGCAAGUUAAUAUUAGAUGCGAGCAGUAAUGCCUAGAUAAACCAAUUAUGAAAUAAUGAAUUAGUAUCUAAAAUUAGACCCGAAGCCUAGUGAUCUUACCAUGGUCAGGAUUAUAAAAGUCCGAACGGGUUAUCGUUGUAAAGAUAUCCGAUGAACUGUGGUAAGUUAGUGAAAGACAAAACUGACUAGAAUAGCUGGUUUUCUGCGAAACCUAUAUAAGUAGGAAAAUUCAAGUUACAUCAUAGCAGGUACAGAACUGUGAUCUCAGGCAACUUAUAAUUUCUUAUCUAGGCGUUGCCUAGAUAAGAAAUAAUUUUGCAUAUAUCGGGGAAUCGUGAGGAUUUUAUCGGUGAGUAUUCGCACUCGGAAGGGCAAUGAUGAACAUAAAAAUGUAUUGAAUAGUCGGACAUAGUACGAUAAGGUUGUAUGUCUAAAGGGAAACAGCCCAGAACAAGAGUUAAGGUUCCAAAAUUAUUGUUAAGUGAAACUAAGGAAGUUUCUAUCUAAUACAACUAGGAAAUAGGCUUAGAAGCGGCUAUUUUUUGAAGACCUCGUAACAGAGCACUGGUUUAGUAAAAACUUUACAUUGAUAGUUGCACCGAAAAUUUAACGGAUCUAAACAAUAUACCGACACCUUGUCCAUAUUGUUAAAUAUAAUAUAGAAUUUAACUAUGGGGUAGCAGAACGUUGGGUAAAUCUUAGACAUAUUCUUUUUAAGAAUAUAGAGUAAUAACGAGUAAUAUCGUAUGAGAGCCCUGAAUUAAUGGUAACCCAAUAUAAGGUAAAGAAUAGGAAGCAUGGAAUAGUGUUGUACGACUGUUUAAUUAAAACAAAGCACUUUGCAAUAAGAUAAUAAAUCAAAGUAUUGAGUGUGAUUUCUGCCCAAUGUCGGCUGGUUAACGGAUUUUCUGGGUUGACUAAUAUAAGCUUGGAUUUGAAGGAAACCCCGAUCAAUGGCGGCCUUACCUAUGAGGGUCCUAAGGUAGCGGAAUACCCUGGCCGUUAAAUGCGGUCUUGCAUGAAUGAUUUAACGAUACAACAGCUGUCUCAAUGAUUGGCUCAGUGAAAUUGGAAUAACUGUGCAGAUACAGUUUACCUCUAGAUAGACGAGAAGACCCUAUGCAGCUUUACUGUUGCUAGUUAUUGAAUAUGAUUGAACCAAUAUUAGUGUAUAAGGUAGUUGGAGGCAAUUUUUUAAACCUCUCGUAGGCUAUAGAGUCUACGUCAUAAUAUAAGGUGCGUUAUUAUUACGUUAUUAAGUAUUAUAAUUAACCCAUCAUAAGGGAACAAUGGCUAGGAGGCAGUUUAUGCGGGGCACAGAUCCCAUAAAAAGUACCUGGGUGUAUCCAAAG
rnacentral:rRNA from 1 species